UCCUAGCCGAAGCGCGGACCUCAGUCCCGGCUGGCCGUAUUACACCCUGGGCUAUAACACCUCCACCGAAGUGGAGGCCACAUUCCCAGAGCCUUUAUCCGGCCGCCGAAACUGAUGCUGGCCUGUCCAAACUGAGUAAACCGGUCAGAAGACCGGCCGAACAGUUUAAACAAGUCUGAUUGCAAGCGCUUCCCUUUCAACAAUUUCACGUGCUUUUUAACUCUCUUUCCAAAGUGCUUUUCAUCUUUCGAUCACUCUACUUGUGCGCUAUCGGUCUCUCGCCAAUAUUUAGCUUUAGAAGAAAUUUACCUCCCAUUUAGAGCUGCAUUCCCAAACAACUCGACUCGUCGAAGGAGAUUUACAUAGGGUGCCAUUUCCUGUCACAUACGGGAUUCUCACCCUCUAUGACGUCCUGUUCCAAGGAACUUAGACAGGCGGCUUCCCCAAAUCAUCCUCUACAAAUUACAAUGCGAACCCGAAGGCUAGCUUUCAAAUUUGAGCUGUUGCCGCUUCACUCGCCGUUACUAGGGCA
rnacentral:rRNA from 1 species